rnacentral:rRNA from 1 species
UACAGAGGUCUCAAGCGUUGUUCGGAUUCAUUGGGCGUAAAGCGUGCGUAGACGGUUACAUAAGUCGGGUGUGAAAGCCCCGGGCUCAACCUGGGAAUUGCAUUCGAGACUGCGUAGCUAGGGUGCGGAGGAGGGAAGCGGAAUUUCCGGUGUAGCGGUGAAAUGCGCAGAUAUCAGGAGGAACACCGAUUGCGAAGGCAGCUCGCUGGAACGUUACUGACGCUGAGACGCGAAAGCGUGGGGAGCAAACAGG